rnacentral:rRNA from 1 species
GCGCGAAAACUUUACAAUGCGGGAAACCGUGAUAAGGGAACUCCGAGUGCCCGUAAAAUCGGGCUGUCCAUCUGUUUAAAUAACAGGUGAAGAAAGGGCCGGGCAAGACCGGUGCCAGCCGCCGCGGUAAUACCGGCGGCUCGAGUGGUGGCCACUAUUACUGGGCUUAAAGCGUUCGUAGCUGGUCUGUUAAGUCUCUGGGGAAAUCUACUGGCUUAACCGGAAGGCGUCUCAGGGAUACUGGCAGACUAGGGACCGGGAGAGGUGAGGGGUACUCCAGGGGUAGGAGUGAAAUCCUGUAAUCCUUGGGGGACCACCUGUGGCGAAGGCGCCUCACCAGAACGGCUCCGACAGUGAGGGACGAAAGCUGGGGGAGCAAACCGGAUUAGAUACCCGGGUAGUCCCAGCUGUAAACGAUGCGCGUUAGGUGUAUCAGUGACCACGAGUCACCGAGGUGCCGAAGAGAAAUCGUGAAACGUGCCGCCUGGGAAGUACGGUCGCAAGGCUGAAACUUAAAGGAAUUGGCGGGGGAGCGACCACAACAGGUGGAG